rnacentral:pre_miRNA from 1 species
AGUAAGACUGCAAGAUCAUAUGGUAAGUGUAUGGUUAAUUCAACAAGAAACUAUCAAACUAUUUUCCAAAAUAGCUGCAACAUUUUGCAUUCCCACUAGCAAU